GGAGGGCCGGACGGGAAUUCGGUCCAGACAACGUUAUAGCCCAGCGCCUUCAGCUUGGGCUCGAGCGAGCCUUUGCUCUUCAGCAGCACCAGCUUGCCGUACUUCUGGAAGCCGAUGCGGACGACCUUGUCCUGGGCCUGUGCAGACGUGACCGGCAGGAGCGCUGCAAGAGACAGCGCGACCGCGGCGGAGGCCGCCAGAGUGAGAUUCGUAAACGCGCGGCGUGUG
rnacentral:misc_RNA from 1 species